AUGGUAUGUCGUUCAAACCAAGCUCGGCUGGGGCCAUUUCUCCACCAUCUGGCUCGCCUGGGACACCUAACACUCCAGAUUUGUUGCUCUGAAAGUGCAAAAGAGUGCUGACCACUACACCGAGGCGGCCAUGGAUGAGAUAACCAUCUUGAAACAGAUUGCAAAGGGAGAUUUGGAUGAUAAAAAAUGUGUGGUGAAGAUUAAUGGAGCAAGGGUAAAUUAGUCAUUCAAUCUUUUGGUUCCGUUCCGUCCAGUGCAUACCAAAUGCAGAACGGAACAACUGUCCCAUUCCGUCAUGUGCGUACCAAACAUAACACGAAACUUUCGUUUUGUCCCAUCCUGUCCCGUCCUGUCUCAUCCCGUUCCGUUCCGUCCCGUCCCAUCUGCAUACCAAACGGUACCUAAAGUAUAGAUUUAGCAGAGACUAGAGCUUUAAUACCUUGCCGCGAGAAUAUCAUUAUAAGUUGUAUAAUAGUGUUAGAAUAAGAUAUUAAAUGAGUUGUAAGCACAAUCAUAGAUAUAUCAAAAAAACUAUUUACAU
rnacentral:sRNA from 1 species